rnacentral:lncRNA from 1 species
GGUAGAGUAAGCGCCAACUGAAUGAAAGUGAACAGCGAAAAAGUCCAAAACUAAUUAUGCAUAUUCAAUAAUAUAUUGCUUGCAUGCCUAUUUGAGUUGCAAAUACAAUAGAGACAAUACAUGUAUACUAAUUAUGCAUAUUUAAUGAUGUAUUGCUUGCAUGCCUUUUUGAGUUGCCAAUAACAUACAUACAUUGCAUGCAUGCAUGCAUAUGCAUAUAAAUAUAUACAUAUAUAUAGAGAGAGAGGGAGGAAAGAGAGAGAGUUGGAAUUGGCUAUACUCCACUCAAAUCUAGUCAGAUUUAGAUCGAGCAAUGAGAGUCUUAUAUCAAUGAUCCAAGCAGUUGAAUAUAAUCUACUACCUCUAAACUGCUUACACAUCAACCAUCAUGUGAUUGAAGAUUUCUAACAUAUGCAUCAAGUGAUCAAAAAAAAAUAUAUAAUUUGAUGUUAUUUAGAUUGUCCAAUUUUUUGGCCGUUUGAUGUAUAGGUUAGAGGUUUCCAAAUUGCAUGAAUUCUAGUAUGUAAGCAAUUUAGAGGUAGUAGAACACAUCUAAUGGUCAGAUCAUUGAUACAGGACCCCACUGCCUAAUAUAAACUUGACUGGAUCCGAGUAGAGAUCUACACGAGUGUAGCCAAGUUUAGCUCUCUCUCUCUCUCUCUCUCUCUCAUAUAUAUAUAUAUAUAUAUCNNNNNNNNNNNNNNNNNNNNACGUAGUGUAGUACCUAGUUAGUCUCUCUCUCUCUCUCUCUCUCUCUCUCUCCAUAUAUAUAUAUAUAUAUAUGCCACAUUCAGAAAUUACCAAGUUUUGUUCUCCUUUUUGAUUGGUACUUGAUUCAUUUCAUAGCAGACAAAUGGAGCCUUUUCCUCUAAUCCAGCAUCAGGAACCUCAAUUGACAGGAUAUUUUAUUUUCUUCAAUAUAAGCGAACAGGGACCUCGAAAGAAAAAUUGCUUUACGACCCUCAAAGGCAAGCCGACAAGAUAUGAGGCUUGUCGGUUAUCAUUAUGAAUCUAUAACCAUACUUCCCUAUUAAUUGAAACAUAUCCAGACUAAAACAGCCAGGGUGCAUACGGUAUGAUCUAUUGAAGCAAAUAUGAAUGAUGAGGUGGAUGCACGGUAAAUCCAUGAAGUAUAUACAAUUAUAGAUUGAACCAUGGAGAUUAAAAUGAUGCAGAACCACUGUUAUGGUAUCAUCACAAGCAACUUAGACUGGAGCCACUAGACUAUGCUUUACUAAGAUGGAAUCAAGUACAAUGAAAACUGUAUAAGACCUUGGUAACAUGCAUCUAAACUUCUGAAGAAGGACCAGACCAUGGAAAUGAAGGGCGACACUCAAGAAGUAUGAAAAUCAUGAUGGGCUUGAGUAGCUCGAACAAUUUGAAACUUACCCUUAUUAAACUAUGGACGGGGAAAUUCAUAAAUUUUUUGAGACAACUGAAAGGAUAGUGCCGGUAAGUUACAGACAGUAUCAAGGCAACAUGAAAGUCGCAAACACAUAUAUAAACAUAGAAUUGGUGGGUGUGCUGAGUUGCAGGAGGUGGGCAGCCAGCUAGUCCAACUGCUGCUACGCUCCUUGUCUAAUGUUUGUUUAAUCGUAGAUGGAAAGUCACAAUAAACUAGAGCCUCAAAAACCGGCCCAGUGCUGCAAUCUGGCCAAAACUGUAGGUAAAAAUUGCAGGACUUGGGGGUAGAUGGGAGCAUAUAUUGGUGUAACGCUUGACAGUG